GAAGGUUUUUGGAUCGUAAACCCCUUUUGUCAAGGAAGAAGCUCUGACGGUACUUGACGAAUAAGCCUCGGCUAACUCCGUGCCAGCAGCCGCGGUAAUACGGAGGAGGCAAGCGUUAUCCGGAAUGAUUGGGCGUAAAGCGUCUGUAGGUGGCCAGCUAAGUCUGCUGUUAAAGAUCACAGCUCAACUGUGGGAAGGCAGUGGAAACUGGCAAGCUAGAGGUUGGUAGGGGUAAAGGGAAUUCCCGGUGUAGCGGUGAAAUGCGUAGAUAUCGGGAAGAACACCGGUGGCGAAAGCGCUUUACUGGGCCAGACCUGACACUGAAGGACGAAAGCUAGGGGAGCGAAAGGGAUUAGAUACCCCUGUAGUC
rnacentral:rRNA from 1 species